AAAACGUCGUGAGACAGUUUGGUCCCUAUCUGCCGUGGGCGUUGGAUACUUGACGGAGCCUGCUCCUAGUACGAGAGGACCGGAGUGGACGUACCUCUGGUGUACGGUUGUCAUGCCAAUGGCAUUGCCGGGUAGCUAAGUACGGAAGAGAUAACCGCUGAAGGCAUCUAAGCGGGAAACUCGUCUGAAGAUAAGGUAUCCCGGGGACUUGAUCCCCCUGAAGGGUCGUUCGAGACCAGGACGUUGAUAGGUCGGGUGUGGAAGCGCAGUAAUGCGUUAAGCUAACCGAUACUAAUUGCCCGUGAGGCUUGAUCCUAUAACACUGAUGGUUAUG
rnacentral:rRNA from 1 species